AGCCUUCUGAAUCCGCGUUGAGAUUUCGUCAGACAUCAGGACUGAUGAGACGCCUUAGAUGAGUGAAGCG
rnacentral:pre_miRNA from 1 species